rnacentral:rRNA from 1 species
AGUAACGCGUGGGUAACCUGCCUCAUACAGGGGGAUAACAGUUAGAAAUGACUGCUAAUACCGCAUAAGCGCACGGGAUCGCAUGAUCCAGUGUGAAAAACUGAGGUGGUAUGAGAUGGACCCGCGUCUGAUUAGCUAGUUGGUGAGGUAACGGCCCACCAAGGCGACGAUCAGUAGCCGACCUGAGAGGGUGGACGGCCACAUUGGGACUGAGACACGGCCCAG